CUCACGUUGUCACUAUCUCAUAAGUCAUAAUGUAAAUUUCAUAGCUGUUAAUAUAACAUGCUUCGUAGCCGCUGACCGUAGGCAUAGAGGCCAAAAAUCAAAAUCUUCAUGACCGAAAGCAUCGAGAUGGACAUUGAGUACAUAAUAACGUCGUACCUAGUUCGUCUGUCGUGCCAUUCGCAGUGAUCGUUUGUUAUUUUUCUUUAGAUAAAUGACUGAAAAUGGCCUCGUAGUCAAUACAAGGGUUCUGAUAAAAAAAAAAAAAAUACCAAUCAUUCCACGUCCGUGUGCCGCAGAGCGAUGAUUUUUAUGUUUUUAGUCAUCGCUAUUGCUGCCGUACUGCAGAUAGCACUAAUUUCGGUUUUCAUUGGUGCUGGAGUUUAUUACUUGGCUGAAUUUGUUGAAGAGCACACAGCAUUAACAAAAAAAGUUAUAAAAUGGACAAUUCAUGUUGUGAUAAUAUGUCAUAUUGGAUUGUAUGUAUUUGACAAUUUACCUUUAACAUUGAUUGCUUUGGGUCUUUUGAGUCAUAUAGUGUACUACUUUUUGCUCACCGACUUUCCACACUUCAACUUAACAUCGCUAUCAUUCAUUUCAUCAAUUAUUCUGUUAAUUGGGAAUCACGUGCUAGCCUUCAAAUUUUUCCGACAACGUUAUACAACAUUAUCUGAAGUUUUUUCUUACUUCACAGUGUGUUUAUGGAUGGUGCCGUUUAUGUUUAUAUUAUCAUUAUCAGCCAAUGAUAAUACAUUACCUAUUACUAAUGUGGUUGGAUUAUUUGGCAUUGGUAAAGCGUAUUACAUACCAGGUCUGCCGUGAUCUAUUGUAAUUUUACACGUAUAGUGCACAAUUUACAAUAAUAUUUUGAAAUGUGGUGGCGCCACUAAUGAUAAAACCGAUAAAAGGAAUUAGCAUCUGGAGAGACAUGAGAAUACAAAUUAUCAGAGAAAUUUGCUGUUCAUUGUUUUACAAGCGCCAAGCAAUUGGUGAUCCUAUGGAAUCUGUACAAAUCAAAGAAUCACUAUCAUGUGGAAAUCGGAAAUACAAUUGCGGAACAUUGAUUUUUUAUAGUUCAAUGAAGAGAUAAUAACAAAUGAAUUCAAAUUAUUUAAACAAAUGUUUUGUUAGUGACUACUAUAGUAUCAAAUUUGUGCUGAUGACAAUGUUGUAUCACAUUAUUUCACCAAUCGUAAACGAAGUUAUAAAAUAAAGAACCUUUUUACUUAUCUUGGUGAUAUUACUGGUAAAAACAACCAUCUGAAGUAAAGAUUCAACAUGAAGAAAUGGUACUUAUAACUUCAAUAUAAUAUUACAAUAUAUAAGUAUAGAAUUAUUUGUA